UUCACUGCUGGGAACUAACAUGUACAUGAGCCAGUCUGACAUUCCAGCAAAGGGCAGGCGCAGCCCAGCACAAAAGCCACCACAUGCCCUGGAUGGUGAGGCCUGCCAGCCUGUCUGCUGUAGGGAAACGCUUGGAUUUAUCAACUGAUGCCUUGGUUGCUAAAACAGUGGAACGGUGUUAGGAGUGAGAGCACAAACAAACCCACCUAGUUAAAUGGGAUCAUACGAACAUUUAACAAGUAUGUCUGAUCCAGGCUGUUCAGCAGUUGUUUGAGUUUCUUUAUCCUGAAAUACUAAAAUUGGAAUCUUUAGGGAAUAAGAAGAAACUAGAGAGCAUUGAGAAGCAGCAUCCAACUCAGCGCAUAUGCUUGGUUUACCGUACAACCAAUUCUCCAGUUUGUCAAGGUCAUUUUGAAUAAUUAUCUUCUCCAAAUGGUACCUUCUUGCUCAUCAUAAUUGCUCCCUUUUGCUCAUCUGUCGAACGUGGAUGCUACUUCUCCUGCAUCCCACUGAUGUUGUGAAGAUUAAUUGAUUCCAUGCUUGUAAAGACUUUCGGAUCAUAAAAUGAAAAGUCUUACAGAAGUUCAAAG